rnacentral:rRNA from 1 species
CAGCCGCCGCGGUAAUACGUAUGUCACAAGCGUUAUCCGGAUUUAUUGGGCGUAAAGCGCGUCUAGGCGGUUAAUUAAGUCUGAUGUGAAAAUGCGGAGCUCAACUCCGUAUUGCGUUGGAAACUGGUUAACUAGAGUACUGGAGAGGUAAGCGGAACUACAAGUGUAGAGGUGAAAUUCGUAGAUAUUUGUAGGAAUGCCGAUGGAGAAGCCAGCUUACUGGACAGAUACUGACGCUAAAGCGCGAAAGCGUGGGUAGCAAACAGGAUUAGAUACCCGCGUAGUCCCUGUCUCUUAUACA